AGGUCAGGCAGAUUGCCUGGUGUAUUCAAAAGUUUAUGAUCUGAGGAGUAACCUCAGGAUUGACAGGUCACCUUUGGGAAUGAGAUGAUGCCUUAGAGCAGUGCACAUUUUAUGCUUUUAGCACCUGAGUGGGGAAAUCGGAGGCUUCAAAGCACAUUGCUGUUUUGUGUCCCCUAGCUACUGCUAAUGUGCAAUUUAGGAAGAGUGGGUCAGAAUCCUUAAUUUGGUGUAUAUCAUCAUAGCUCCAUUGACAUCAAGGGAGCUACCCAGAUUUACAGCGACUGAGGUUCUGGCCUGGAUUGUAUGACCUGCUUGCCAUAAGGUUUCUCGAGACUGAGUGCAUUGCAGAGAUGACACAUUUGAUUUCUGUAUGGAAGGAAAGAAGUGACUGUUGUAGCCAGUGGCAAUCCCUGUUGGCUUGAGAUUUGAGGAGUGAAGUGACUCGCGUUCUCCAGAACAGUUCAAAGGAGAAGGCAAAGUAAGACUUUUCCCUGCUCAGAACACAAUGGUCAGAUGUUAACAAACCAGCUCAAAGUCACUAUUUGGAGUAAUUAUUUCUGCUAUCGUUUCCUGUCAAUUGUGGAAUAAUUUAUAUGUGAAUACAUUAUUUCAUUAUUCAACCAAAUCUAGUUACCGUCAAGUUUCUGGUCUUCUCUCUCUUGCAAAUACCCAUCAGGGAGUGGAGAGAAGGGAUGAUACUGUCAGAGCCCUCUUGUGUUUUGCCAGAAUAAUUUCAUUGGGGGAAUCAGUCAAUACCACAGAUAGAACUGUGGGGGAACUGGAAUUUCUACAUUUCCUUUCAUGUCAGAUCAGAACAAAACGGUAGAAUUAUUAAAUUUUCUGCUAAUCCAAUUUAAAAAACAAAUUCCGGUCAAUCAAAAUACAUUUCAAACAAAAGUCAUUAUGAAACAAAAAAUCAAAACAUUCCAGUAAGUUGACCUAAACAAAAUGCUUCGUUUCAAUUCCACCCCCGCCAAAAAAAAAAAAUGUUGCCAAAAUCAACACAUUCCCACAAAAAGUUUCUAUUUUGAUGAAUCAGCAUUUUCCAAUGGAAAAAUGUUCUGUCAGAAAAAGUUUGAUCAGCUGUAACCAUGGCUCAGAGAGGUAUUGUGUGUCUGCACUGACUCCAGGACCCUGACAGCAAAGUUCCAUUGCAGCUCUACUGCCAUGGCUUCCCUCACAUGCUAUAGGUACUACCUCAACCUCUCCCCCUAGCCUGCCUUCAGAGGGAUUUCCACAGCACAGAGCGACCAUGGAAGAGUUAGUGCUUCUCAACUUGUAUUUACCCUCUACUGGCUUUUCUGCCAGCAGUAGGGUGACCAGACAGCAAGUGUGAAAAAUUGGGACAGAGGGUGGUAGGUAAUAGGAGCCUAUAUAAGAAAAAGACCCCAAAAUUGGGACUGUCCCUAUAAAAUCGGGACAUCUGGUCACCCUAGCCAGCAGGGCAAGGGGAUAGGGGUAAUGCAUGUUUUCUUGGCCGCACCUCAGCCUUCCCAUUGCUGUUCUUAUCAUGCACAUUCUCCAGCUCUGGGAAAGCAUGGAAUGUGUUACACUUUAUAUGACGGUUCUGUUGAUAAAUAGUUCAUGAACACUUUAAUAGCUGAUUAAUGGGUGUGUUAAUAAAUGGUUAAUAGAUGGUUAUAGAGUCCAGCAGGUCAAUGGAUUGCUUGUAGUCGUGGGUUAUAGUCGUCCAGAACACCUUCUGCUGAUGUGCUUAAACUAUUCUAUUACACAUACUACCCUGGUCUGUAACAUGCUUAUGAUAUCUAUCAAUCAUGUAUUAACCCUUUCUAAACCUUUCAUAAAUGGACUCUUAAAAGUGUGACCAUUAGAUCAAUAGGGCUGCUCUUCUAUCAAAGGCAUAAUUACCUAAUUACCAUCAUCUGAGCACCUCUUUACAACUCCCCUGCGAGGUAGAGCAGUGCUGUUAUCCCCAUUUCGCAGGUGGGGAUCUGAGGCACAGCAAGACUAAAUGACUUGCCCAAAGUCACACAGGAAGUCUGUGGAGGAGCAGGGAAAUAAACCUGGCUCUCCUGAAUCUCUGGUUAGCAACCUAACACUUGGACCACCCUUCUUCUUGCAGCCUACAGAAUGUAAUGGCAUUUGAAUAAUAUCUGUAGUGGGCAAUAAAGAGUAUCCUUUCUGUACGUUUUAUGAGCCAUCCUUUGGAAUUCUGUACUGAAUUCUAUAGGGUGGUUUAAAAACCUAUAGCGAGGUCAUUCUUUUUCCUUGGAAGUAAUUCUAUAAGAUGUUUCUCUAGGUGAGGCAGAGACAGUGCAGGGAGGUGGUGACCUUCUACUCUCCUCCCAUUUAUCUGUUCCCAAAAGCCCAAGAUGACCACCCAGGGUGGCCUGUUCACAUCUUAUUCCAAUGCGGCUCACAUUUUGGCUUUAGCUUGUUAGCUCACCCAGCCCGCACGUGUGAGCGCUGUGCGUCCCCUCAAGAAGAUUUUUACAAGCCCUGGUACAAAUCAGCCAAGGGACUGAGCAUGCCUCAGAGUGACAGGAGGAAAUACACAAUGUACUCAAAACCCCUAAGUAAGCUGCGGCUACAUUGAAAUGAACUUAAUGGUUGCUUUUGGUAUUGCUAGCACACACCGCAGGGAGAGCAAAUGCUAAAGAGCUGCUUCCUGCACUAAAACAUGAAACCGCAAAAGAUCUCAUUUUACUAACCUUCCCUGAGCCACGCACACCCAGAAAAAUAAAUUAAAAGGGUAAAUAAGGGUUUAUAAUGAUUUAUUUGGAGGGGGAAACCAUCCCCUGAUUUACAGUAUUGAUAUGUAUUAACUAUAUUUAGGAUCAAAUCUUCCUAGGUACCUAUGAUCACUAUAGUAUGGGAGCUAUUCAGUCAUUAAUGCAUGUUUAUCUUCGUAACUCUUUUCUGUGGGAGGGAAGUAUCAGCCCCUUUUUACAGAUGGGAACCUGAGGUAUAGGGCAGAUUAAGUGAUUUCCCCAAGUCAGACAUGAAGUAAGUGGCAGAGUAGGGAACUGGACCCAGGUCUCCUGAGUCCUAGACCCAUGCCCUAUCCACUAGAUCACUCUUCUCUCCUGAUCCCACCAGUGGUUUCAGCGGGGUGAGAAUUAGACCACUGACAUUCCCCUGGCACUUUAUAUGUUCAAAGCAUGGUGUAAUGGUUACAUAAUUAAUCUGUUUUGAUUAUUUCCUUUGUUUCUAAGUCUUUUCCAUGUGAUCGCACCCCUACUCCCCAUUCUCCCAGGUGGAAGCAUUAGUAUUGCUGAUCUCCAGGGUAGUCAGCCCCAGAAUACAUGUAGCAACAAGUGGAGAACAUCCUUCGACAUUUCACCUGUUCCCUACACUGUUGACACAUUUCAUUUCCACUCCUGGAAAAGUGAUGCUUGUGAAAAUGGCCUCUCGUCAUGAUAACAUCUACACAAUUAGAUGGAGUCUUGCAGCCUAUCCAUUCAGUUCUAUCAGUCAAUCACUCAACCGUGUCCUGAGUCAGACUGAUACAUCUAGCAAUCAUGGGGGAUCACAAGCCUCUCCCCCUCCCCGUCCCCUCUCUCUGGGACUGUCCCAGCCCGGGCUGUUCCUCCUUCCAUGGACAGCCUGAAUGAAAGCGAUGCUGCCCAAUGGAAUAUGAGUGUGCAACUCAGCCAGUUAAUGGGAGCUGGAAGUUGCCAGUUCUGGGUUUAGAGGGAAGGGAGCUGAAACUGCAGGGGAAAGAUGAGUAAGUCUGGGGUGGGGAGGUCCUGACCUGUGCCCCCAUUCCAGGGGGCCCCUCCCCAUGACCCCAGGUCCCAUACCCCAUGUAGGGCCCCCCAGGGGACUCCUCCCUGUGCUCCCAGGUCCCAGCCCCCCUCUAUGGUACCCCCAGAUCCCAGAGGUCCCUGUCUGUGACCCCAAUUCCCAGCCCCUCAUUUCCCAGGGAACCCCUCCCUGUGCCCCCAGAUCCUAGCCUCCCAGUUCUCAGGAUCCCCCAUUCUUUCUAGUUUUCAGGGUGUUUCCCCAGGCCUUUGACAUCCCCCUCCCCCAUGCCACAUUCUGACCCCCAAGUUCCUCAUGCUCCCCAACCCUCAGGGGCUCCUCCUUUUUCUUGCUUAUCCCAAAGGGAGGUGUCAGUGCAGGGGGGUGAGGAUAUUUCAGGCGUGAACCUUCCACUAUCACAACCCAUCUUAGCUACCUCCAGUGCAGUGGAGCAUUUGCAUUUUAAAUCCCCCACCCCUCAAUAACCCUUUCCCAAGGACAGGGAAGGGGCACUUGAAUAUUGGGGAUGCUCAAUAUUGGGGAGUAGGGAGAGAUCUGCCCUUCUGGAUCCUUCAUGUCACUACCCCCUCUGCAUCCCCACACCAGUGAGUCUCGUAUCAGUACUCCUCUGGUUCCCCCCACCCUUUCUGGGACUCUCCGCUCACCAUGCUCCCCUGACACCAAAGCCCUCUGGUGCCCUCCUGACACUACGGCUCCCCUUGGGUUGCUGACCCAUUGUGGAGAGCCCAGGGAGACAGCAGGGGGCAGGGGCACCAACAUACACCCAGGGUGCUGUUUUCCCUAAGGCCAUCCCUGAUUUUGUGAUUAAGUGACCAUUUAUCACGUUUGUAAGUGGCAAGAUAAACUGGAGUGUAUAAGGGGACUGUCACUUGACUCCAUUAUAAGACGAUUGUAUUAUUAUGGGAGUUCACUUUGGUGCUGGGUUGGGGUGACUGCCCUGAAAUAGACACUCGUGGUGGUGAGCCGCACCAGACAGCGUGACAGUAAACAUACUUGACCAGGGACCAUCAAAACAACUAGCCUUCAGUGGAGGAGAGAAGUGGAAUAGCGUUGACUGUCCCCGCAUGGAAGAACCAGGGUGAGGAUUUUUUUUGCAGCAAGCAGUAAGAUUUGAGGCAUUUGUGCUCUGAGGGAAAGCUGUGGUGCUGGCAAGCACGGCUGUUGAUGCCAGACGUGGUUUUAGGAUAUGGUUAGAUCUCCCUCUGCUUAUCCACUAGCACUUGGAGAACAGCGUUGGGGUGUGAGCGAGUGGGGGCACAUGUUGUGCAUAGUCAAAGGAACUUGCAAUUUCUUCCAAAUAAAUCUAGAGUCAACCUCCCUUUGCCUUCUGCAGCCACCAGUCAGGCAUUACACUUCCAAUGAGGAUCUAGGUCUCAAGCCCAAAUCUAGCCUAAAGGGUUUGUUUUUCUGUGCAACCGUAUGAUGAAUUGUAUGAACAUUAUAUAUAUAUUUGCACCACUAUAGCUAAUAACCUUGCAUUAGCAUUUCCACUGAAGUCAGCAGUUCAGUGGUAUAUUUUUACAUUAAUCAAGUAAAUAUAUGCUGGGUCUUUCUGUACCACCUGCUGCACUAGUGUGAGCUGAGGAGUGGCUGGUGGGCUACGUGGGAUCAAAAUAUACUCUCCUUGGAGAAGAAAUAUCUGGUCAUUUGUGCUAUAAUGUAAUAAAAAUACUCUGAAUGGCAAAGCAGCUAAGGAGACAAAUCAGAGAGUAAUCACAGCACAAUUAGCGCAUGUUCAGGUACAAAAGGACCUUCUGAGCUUUCCCCCUCAGACAUAACCCUAUUCUCUCUGUGCUGAGUAGCAACUCAUGCUGACUACAGCUGGUAGGAUUGUCCACCAAGUCCCAGUGCAGAAUGGGAUUCAAAGUUACAAUGAAGUCAAAACAGACUUUCCAGUUUCCACACCGGAGGUAUGGGUAUAGACAGAAAGAAAUUGCACUUAUCAAUGCAAAUCUCUGAAGCAUUUCCAGCGGUGAUGAUUAUUAUAAGGCCAAACCCAAUGAACUCUAUUUAACCCCAUUAUAGUUAUUGUAAAAACCUCUGCAAACACGGACCACAAUCUCCCCUUGAGCAGGAUGGAAAGCCUGACAAUCACAGCAAUAUAGCAUGCUGGGGAGGGGGGCUGGGGGCUACAACCAGGGUUUCCCUAUCUCACUACCCUCCAUACAAUGAAACUGAACCAAUUCUUCUUCUAGGCCUAAUGUGCCCAGGUGGGGAAGGAAUGAGGGAAUAGCUUUUACCUCCUUGUGUGAUUAAACUAAGCUAUCUACAAUUUAGUUAGGAGCUACACUUUCUUCCUUUCAUGCUGGGUAACCUGAAUGUGUUCCUUCCCCAUUGUUAAAUCUCUGGAAAUCCUGUGAAUAUUAUGGAAUAUAUUACUGGCAAAUUGCCAAUAAGGAUCUUAUCCUCGUAUUGCCGUAAGAAGUUUUCAGUUUCAACAAGCCAUUUAAAAAGGACUUUUCCCUCUAGGCUCUUUGUUAAUCACUGAAAUUGCUAUAAAUCCAAUUUUAUUGAAUUGAGCAAAUCUAAUGCUUUAUAUUAAAGCUGGGUGGUUUCUUUUAAUACAUAUUGUAUAUGCAGAAGAUAAAAAGACAAUAACAAUGUUUAAAUGAAUUGUAACUCUCCAGAAAACAAAAACAAUCAGAUAUAAAUUUGCAAUUUCAAUUCAGAAUGUUUUUCAACCAGAUCAAACUUGUCUCCUGCCUCUGAAGGGAAAUACAGAAGAACAGCAUUAUUCUGUUUGCAUAGCUCUGAUUGCAGACAGUAGUGUGAAAAGUGGCGCUAACAAUAAUUGCUGAAAUAUUCAGAAAACAGCUUAGUAAGAACUCAUUUGCACUGGGAGAUUGCAUAUUUGACAUCCUUUUAAACUCCAGUGCUGAGGUUACUUGUUUGUAAAUUCUACAUUUUUAGAUAUUAAGUAAAAAGGGGACCCGUUUGUGAUGAACCCCUUAGUGAGUCCAACUCUCCAUAAACUCCCUGACAGACAUAUCAAUGCAAACUGAAAAAUACCCAGAAUCUAUCUGUGUUACUUAUAUGGCUCCAUUAUCAUACUAUCUGAGUGCCUACAAGUGCUAUAGGAAGUGCGGCUACGCCAACGAGACACUACCCCACAUCCUGUGUAGCUGCAAGCCCUAUUCAAGAGCUUGGCAGCUGCGACACAACGCCAUCCAAGGUCGGAGCCAUCCCGCACCCAAUGGGGAAGGUUGCCGUAAACUCCGCUAUCCCCGGAGCCGACAGCCAACUGCAACCGGACAUCGUCAUCACCAACGAGGACCAGAAGAAGAUCAUGAUGGUGGAUGUCACAGUGCCCUUUGAGAACAGCCUGCCAUGAUGCCCAAGCUCGAAAGGUGGAGAAAUA